rnacentral:lncRNA from 1 species
GGAGAGAGUCGCUGUACCGGCCAGAUUUGGAGGACAACAAGGACAGAUUUGAGCCUAUGGAGCCGCUGCGUGUCAUGGCGGAGAGCCUGUGGUGCCGGCACCUGAAAGAGCCGGCGUGGGUUGUUGGCGAGCAGAGACAGUUGAAUCUCGCCGAGGAUGAUUUCAUGACUUUGGGAACGGCGCCGGAGCGUGGUGUGACGGGGAGAAUUGGGUCCACCCUCUUCGUUUCUAACUCUGUGUUCAUGUCCAGAACGCUCCCUCCUCCUGAUGAUUGCUUCGGCAUCUUUAGCUUUCUUGGCUUGAUUUCUUCCUCUCUAUUCAUUACUUCCAUGCUUUCCUUCUUUUCUCUUCUACCUUCUCUCUGUCUUAUAACGUACUGUCCGCAUAAGCAAAAAAAGGUGACGACACCCUAUAUCGUAUAAUAUAUAUAUAUAUAUAUAUAUAUAUGCAUGCAUCUGUUUCACAACAGAUAUAUACACAUGUACGUGCUUAUGUAUGGUUGAGUUUUCCAAACAUUCUUAUAAUAUUAUAUCUGAAUUUUUUAUUUAACUAAGCAGCAUUUAAAUAAAUAAAUUAUAAUAAAAAUAUAAACAUAAAUUUUUAUAUAUACUAAUCAUUUUCUUGAAUAAUACUAAAUUUUUAUGGCUUGUCAUAUAUAAGCAGCUGUGUGUUUUGUGACCCUUAAAUAUUCAAAUACUCUUGCAUGUCAAUUACGUACUGUUCAUGAAAACUCUGAAAUAAAUAUUCAUAAAGGAGAUUAAUGAAAAAGCUAACAAGAAAAAGAAAGUUGAGUGAUAUACACCAACAGUGAUAGACAUACAUAAUAUUCAGAUAACAGAUAUACAUAUACCUGGUAUGUAUACGUAAAUAUACAAGUGAUGAGAGAUACAGCAGAGAAGAAGCGAGCAGUACUGUUGGUGAUAAGCUGAUGAUGAUAAUGACCCAGAAAGUAAAAACAAUGGGCCUGCGGAGGGAAGAAAAGUCAAGUAAAGGGGGGUAUAAGUUUGGUCGGCAAGAUGAAAAGAUGAAUUGCAGAAAAAAAAAAAAAAGAAGAAGGUAAAGAGUAAUU